rnacentral:rRNA from 1 species
AGUUUGAUCCUGGCUCAGAAUGAACGUUGGCUGAGUGUAUUAGGCAUGCAUGUCUUACUGGCCGUAAGGCCCCUGGCGCAGGGGUGAGUAAGGCGACUGUAACCAACCCCAUGAUUGGCUAUAGCCGGGGGAAACUGCGGCUAAUCCCCAGCGACGUCCUUGGAAGGCAUCUUCCGGGGACCAAACCUCCGGCGUCGAGGGACGGGCCGUCGUGGUAUUAGGUUGUUGGCGGGGUAACGGCCCACCAAGCCUGUGAUGCCUACCGGGCGUGCGAGCGUGGCCCGGCACACUGGGACUGAGACACUGCCCAGACUCCUACGGUAGGCUGCUUUCUACAAUUUUUGGCCAUGGGCGCAAGCCUGACCGACCGACGCCGGAUGGAGGAUGAAGGCCUUGGGGUUGUAAACUCCUGUCCAGGGGAAAGAAUGCCCGUACGGGCUUGACUGAUCCCUGUACGAAGCACGGGCUAAGUUCGUGCCAGCAGCCGUGGUAUGACGAACCGCGCGAACGUUAUUCUGAAUCACUGGGCUUAAAGCGCGUGUAGGUGGAUCGGAACGUACACCGCUGAAAUCCCGCGGCUUAACCGGGGAACGGCCGCCGAAACGACCGGUCUGCCGAACGUACGGGGAGCUGGAACUUCCGGUGGAGCGGUGAACUGCGUAGAGAUCGGAACGAACGCCCGUGGCGAUAGCGAACUCCUGGACGUUUACUGACACUGAGACGC